rnacentral:rRNA from 1 species
UUCCGUAGGUGAACCUGCGGAGGGAUCAUUACCGAGUUUACAACUCCCAAACCCAUGUGAACAUACCUACUGUUGCUUCGGCGGGAUUGCCCCGGGCGCCUCGYGUGCCCCGGAUCAGGCGCCCGCCUAGGAAACUUAACUCUUGUUUUAUUUUGGAAUCUUCUGAGUWGUUUUUACAAAUAAAUAAAAACUUUCAACAACGGAUCUCUUGGUUCUGGCAUCKAUGAAGAACGCAGCGAAAUGCGAUAAGUAAUGUGAAUUGCAGAAUUCAGUGAAUCAUCSAAUCUUUGAACGCACAUUGCGCCCGCCAGUAUUCUGGCGGGCAUGCCUGUCUGAGCGUCAUUUCAACCCUCAUGCCCCUAGGGCGUGGUGUUGGGGAUCGGCCAAAGCCCGCGAGGGACGGCCGGCCCCUAAAUCUAGUGGCGGACCCGUCGUGGCCUCCUCUGCGAAGUAGUGAUAUUCCGCAWMGGAGAGCGACGAGCCCCUGCCGUUAAACCCCCAACUUUCCAAGGUUGACCUCAGAUCAGGUAGGAAUACCCGCUGAACUUAAGCAUAUCAAUAAGCGGAGGAAUUAUAUAAUUUUCAACCCC